GCCCACAACAUUUGAGGUCGGGAAGUCUGACUAGAAUUAUGAGUAGGACAACGUCAGGCUACCAAACGGGAACCUUUUCUUAAAAAUGAAACGAAGCUUCUCGAUAGCAAUUCGCUCGUCCUUGUCACAAUCGCCUGCCUAGAUGAAAGUAAAACAGAACUUCGCUUAGCUGCAUGUAUCAGUUACGCUCGACACCGAGGUCGUUCAAGUGCUUCAAGUUUUAUUUAAGCUUCCAAGCCUCGGUUUCAAGGGGAUAAUUACUACCUGUCAUAGGUUUUACCUUCAUUUUUUUUAUCAUGGGAAUAUUCUGUGUGUUCAUUGUCGUUGACAAUGUUAAGCCAUUCUCGCUCUUCGAGUCAGGAGAAGACGUUUUAUCCGCGUUGGAGGUGUCUGACUUAAACAUAAAGCAGAGAAAAAUAGAUCAUUAUUCUUCACAACCCUUUCUGAAGCCGACCAUGUCUUUAUUUGAAGUUAUUGUCUGUAAACUUCGGAAAUUCACGUUAUUUAGAAGACUCCGGACAGAAGUCUGCUCAUCCCAACAGAACAAUGUUAGUGAUAAAGGAGCUGUCAAAGAGGUUGCCUUACAACUGAACAGAACUCUAAAGGGUCAGGCAGUGUCUCUGUUACCCAGCAUCCUUAGCGAUCAUUGGAGUAUUGAUGACUGUCGAGAUGCUAUCCUAAGAUGGGCAGACGAAUUGCAACACCUACAGUUAAAGGCAGAGCAGACGCAGGCUGAACCCAACACUUCUUCCAGUACAGCUGCGGAGAGAAGGAUGGUCUCGGCGAGUUCGAGCCCAAACGACCGUGAGGAGGAGAGACUUCGGGAGGCCCAGCUGACCUUAAAACAGUGGGCUAACAGCCUGAAAGCACUUCCUGAGGGUUCUGUGAGUUUGGGGACGGAUGUGGGGGGUGUACUGGAGGAUCUGGACAAGCAAUGGAGGAGGGGGCAGCUGCCCAACAUGCUCCCAGCCCUGGAGGUCAUCGUGAGGAGCGUGAUGCAGAGUCAACAAAGACCAGAGGUUGUCAUCCCUAUGAAGUGGAUCUGUAAACCGAGAAAAAGCUACUCUGGCUGGGGUAACACUGGCUGGAGGCCUUCUUCGCACUCAAGGUUUCUUACAACGUGCAGCUGACUUUCUUUUUCUGUUCCUGAGUUCUUAUGAAUACAACAUCAAAUCUGCUCCUUGCUGCCUCCCACCCUGGACCCUAUGCAGUUUGCAUACCGGUCCAACAGGUCUACAGACGAUGCCAUAGCCCUGACCACGCACACCGCCCUCACCCA
rnacentral:lncRNA from 1 species